UACGGGGGGUGCGAGCGUUGUCCGGAAUCACUGGGCGUAAAGGGCGCGUAGGUGGUUUGAUAAGGGUGUGGUGAAAGCCCGGGGCUCAACCCCGGGUCUGCCGUGCCGACUGUCAAACUCGAGGGCUGUAGAGGCAGACGGAAUUCCAGGUGUAGCGGUGAAAUGCGUAGAUAUCUGGAGGAACACCUAUGGCGAAGGCAGCUCGCUGGGACGUUACUGACGCUGAGACGCGAAAGCGUGGGGAGCAAACAGG
rnacentral:rRNA from 1 species